GAGAUCAAGAGAGAGAGAGAGAGAGAGAGAGAGACGGAGAGACAAUUAAGAGAGAGCCAUUUGUUGGUUGUUCUUGUUCAUUGAAAGUCAUUUCCGCCAUCGCUGAGAAUAAGAGUCAUGAGCUACUGGUCCAAAAAGGAACUUCUGAGAAAAAUCAACUCCUAUUGAAGGCAUGAAAUCUGUAGACCUAAAAGCGAAGAAUUGCCCACUUAUAUGUUUGAUCCACAUUUCUUUUACAAAUGCAAAGAGGAAAACGAAUAGUAAGAGCAAGUAAUAGUUGUAGUCGAGGCCUAGGUUGGGGUCAUAUUGAGGACAAUGACAGACUGACUCUCGUGGAGGAUUUAGUUGGCGAUACAGACAUGUUAUCGCUGGUGGAGGGCCAUCAUUUUGAAAGUAGUCUACUCCCGAACACUCAUCAG